AAUUAGCCCCGAUUGAAGUGGAAAUCCUUUUUAUUUUUUUUCUUUAAAAAAUAAAAAGAUUGUAACGAAAAGCGGGAAAUAGC
rnacentral:sRNA from 1 species